GGCCGUCUGGCGAAAUGGCAUCGCGUCUGACUACGAUUUGGAGCUUAAAAUCAAGAAUAAUCAGGAGAUUGUAGGUUCGACCCCUACGUCGGUCA